rfam:Enterococcus casseliflavus EC20, complete genome.
GGAGAGUUGGCAGAGUGGUAAUGCAGCGGACUCGAAAUCCGCCGACCCGGUUCAUCCCGGCGCGCAGGUUCAAAUCCUGUACUCUCCU